GGAGACAUCUGCCGGCCAGGCACACUACCUCAGACUAUUUCCGGUUUAGCGCUCGGCUAACUUGAAUGGGGAUUAGAAGAUUUAAUUGUGUGGCUCUUCCAGACUUUCCAAAUGUUAUCGAACCGAAUGGAUCACAUUUUCAUAGUAUAACAAGUCAUUUUGCAGGG